ensembl:lncRNA
GCCCUUCCUCUGGUCCCCUAUUCAGGCAAGACUAUAUACUCUGUUCUCUAUUCAUGGGAAGCAUUGACAAAGGUCAGGGCCUGUUGACCUCCAUACACAAGCACACUGCACACUGCACUUAGCCCCUUAUAGGAGCAUACUGUCCUGGCCACAGCAGUCAUGUAGAAUGCCCUAUCCUCUGGUCCCCUAUUCAGGCAAGACUAUAUACUCUGUUCUCUAUUGAUGGGAAGCAUUGACAAAGGUCAGGGCCUGUUGACCUCCAUACACAAGCACACUGCACAUUGCACUUAGCCCCUUAUAGGAGCACACUGUCCUGGCUACAGCAGUCAUGUAGAAUGCCCUUCCUCUGGUCCCCUAUUCAGGCAAGACUAUAUACUCUGUUCUCUAUUGAUGGGAAGCAUUUACAAAGGCCAGGGCCU